GAUGAACGCUGGCGGCGUGCCUAAUACAUGCAAGUCGAGCGAACAGAUGAGGAGCUUGCUCCUCUGACGUUAGCGGCGGACGGGUGAGUAACACGUGGAUAACCUACCUAUAAGACUGGGAUAACUUCGGGAAACCGGAGCUAAUACCGGAUAAUAUAUUGAACCGCAUGGUUCAAUAGUGAAAGACGGUUUUGCUGUCACUUAUAGAUGGAUCCGCGCCGCAUUAGCUAGUUGGUAAGGUAACGGCUUACCAAGGCAACGAUGCGUAGCCGACCUGAGAGGGUGAUCGGCCACACUGGAACUGAGACACGGUCCAGACUCCUACGGGAGGCAGCAGUAGGGAAUCUUCCGCAACGGGCGGAAGCCUGACGGAGCAACGCCGCGUGAGUGAUGAAGGUCUUCGGAUCGUAAAACUCUGUUAUUAGGGAAGAACAAAUGUGUAAGUAACUAUGCACGUCUUGACGGUACCUAAUCAGAAAGCCACGGCUAACUACGUG
rnacentral:rRNA from 1 species